UUAUGCUGAAUUCAGAUUUCCACUCGGAUUUUGCAAAUUUUUAGUAUAUAGAUACAAUGACAGUCAGAGAUUUUAUGCUAAAUGGGCAUGGGAUGCUUGGAUGUGCCCCUUCAAACCAAGUCCACGUUUAAAAUUUGCUGAAUAGCGACAUUGUUUGGGAAAAAUACUCUGACAGAAAAGAGUCUAAACUGUGGAUAGACAUCAGUCUGACAUCUGUGUGUUUAUUUCCAUAAGUGAAGUUUGUAUCAACUGACUGAAGGAUCAGUGUUAAAGGAUAACACUACAAUGAAAACAGCUGUGAGUUGUUUCUUUUGAAAAUGACUGCUUGAUGAUAAAGUUUCAAACAACUAUGAAGUGAGUGGAUGUUCUAGAGAGACUAAUUCUUCAAAGAAUGAAUAAUCAUCAUCAUGCUUAUAUUGGAAUAAAAGGAAGGAAGUGACAGCUACAGUCAGGGUAAAAGUAAAUGCAGUCAGAAGACCUCUGAUAUCACCUGAAGAGCCAGCCUUCUCAAGAUUCUGUAUCAAAUAAAAAUAACAAGGACUGCUAAAAAGACUUUUUAUAACUUGCAAAUGUGCAGCCUGUGACAUAACUGUCUGAUCCAGGUAGUUUAGUGUUGACAAGAUGACAUUUCAUCUCUAUAGUAGAGGACACAAGUUUGAAAUGCAGUAUGUCAUUGUGAAGGCAAAAUGUUUAUGAAAAUAGUGUGUGUGUGUUUCCCAAAUAGAGAGGCUGAAAGUGGGGAAUCAUCAAUUAGUGUUUUUGGAAUAAGUUAUGGACAUCUGAAUAGUAAAGAUCUGUCCCUUUUUUGGAUUGCCACAGACAAAAAUAAUGAUUGGUGCCUUUGACAUAAAUAGAAGAACUCGCACUGGACACCCUGAAGAUGGAAUUACAAGAAUGUAUGUUGUUUGCAUUAAUGUUUUUUUUUCUUCAGAUUUAUGGAAAAACAAUUAGAAUGUCAUUUCUUAAAAAUGUUGAUAGUUGUUUAACCAAAGGCCCUGUAAUUGAAAAAUAUCUUUAUUCUUGACUUUAUCAUGUUUAUAUUAAAAUAAAAAAAAUUUGAUACUGUUUGAUUACUUUUGCAUGUAUAACAUUAAAUUUGUUAUAUUUAAAUUUGAUAAAAUUUAAUGUAUUUUGAAAAAGAUGCACUUGAACAUAUCUAAAUGGAAUAAACACAUGACAGUCUUUGAAUAUCUGUAAAAAAGCACAUAUUUUGCAGUUCUCAUCAGAUUUGGUUACCAAUUUACAGCAUAAUUAUACAUGAAGGCUUAUUACUCAAACAUAUGCAGAUCUAAUUGUAUAUUUUCUACCAUAGAUAAUUUUAUUUCAUAUAGAUUUUUUAAAUCUUUUAAAAAUACUGAGAAAAUAUAGCAAAACAAUGGUUGAAUUAGUAUACUUGAUUUUGUGAGACUGUUGAAAUAUUACAAUUCUUUUUCCCUCUUAAGCCUGUAUCAUAAAAUUAUAUUUUCUGAUGAAAUUUAUUUUUUAAGAAUGUUGCAAUGCAGAUUUUAAUGAAAAUUCAUACAUUUGUAAAGUUACCUAUAUUGUGUUAGGUAAUAACUUAAGCCCAUAUAUACUAAUUGGCCAAUGAUUAAAGAGAACAUCUGAGUUUCUAGCUGACUGUCUGACUAAUUUAAGACCUCAUUCAUGUAACAACAUCUAUUAAUCUUCAGAAAUCCAGUAAAAUUGUCAUCUGUAAAACAGGUUUCAUUCUAAGAUAUACAAGGCAUAUAACAUCCUAUUUUACCAGCAUGUAUUUACUUCAAUAAAUAAAGUAGAUUUAGUUGUGUAUUUUGAUAAAUUUCAGAAAAAGCAUUAGGAGAUAUUUCUGCAACUGCAGUUUGUAUUAACUGAGUAUUUACUGGCACUGGAAUGUGCAUGAUCAGGGUUUUUCUGAAUAAACUUAGUAAAGUCUUAAAUCUACAUUAUCUAUAGCUAUCUGUAAAAAGUCUAGCCAUUGUCUUGAUAGUUUGAAAGAAUUAAAUACAUUUGAGCCGCACCAUGAGAAAACCAACAUAUUGGCUUUGCGACCAGCAUAGAUCCAGAGCAGCCCGCGCAGUCUGGUCUGGAUCCAUCCUGUUCGCUUUCAAAGCAUAUUGCAAUUAGAGAAACUGUUAGUGAACAGCAUGGAUCCUGACCAGACUGCACUGAUGCACAGGCUGGUAUGGAUCCAUUCUGGUCGCAAACGCACUAUGUUGGUUUUCUCAUGGCGCGGCUCAUUUAAAGUUGUAUCUAGCAAAAUAUUGACUAAACUGUUCUGUAGAUAAUUUGAUUUAAUUUGAUUGUUAAAGGAAGAAUGUGCAUCAUGAUUGUUAUUACAUAAACAUACUGUAUUAUUUUUUAAAUAUCAUGAUAUUUUUCAGUCUUGGAUUACACUGUUAUUUGUUCAUAAUUUUGAAAUGUAUUUAAAAUGUAAAUAUUAAAUCAAAUGGCGAAGUAGA